UAAUAACACUUGAUGAUAUAAACCAAAGUCAGUGAGAAAUCUAUAUAUGACGCAGAUGAGAGUGACUUGUUUCAAAUGAAAAAUAGAAACAAAAAGUGCUUGCAGGCUUCGCUGCCUUCAUUGUGAUGGUGUUGGUGUGAAGGUCCUGGGCGCAAAGUGCGUGCCAAUAGUUUAUUCAUAACUGUACCGCCUGUUUCGUUUUGUUCAUCACACUCACUUCUACUUGACUCUUUUUACCGAGCCGCGUUUCCUUUUUUGUCUACUUUGAC
ensembl:ncRNA R04F11.11 ncRNA